GAGGGUAUAGCUCAAGUGGUAGAGUGUUUGCUUAGCAUGCAUGAGGUUCUGGGUUCAAUCCCCAGUACCUCCU
rnacentral:tRNA from 1 species